rnacentral:rRNA from 2 species
GCGCGAAAACUUUACAAUGCUGGCAACAGCGAUAAGGGAACCUCGAGUGCCAGGUUACAAAUCUGGCUGUCGAGAUGCCUAAAAAGCAUUUCAUAGCAAGGGCCGGGCAAGACCGGUGCCAGCCGCCGCGGUAACACCGGCGGCUCGAGUGGUAACCGUUAUUAUUGGGUCUAAAGGGUCUGUAGCCGGCCGGAUAAGUCUCUUGAGAAAUCUGGCAGCUUAACUGUCAGGCUUUCAGGAGAUACUGUCUGGCUCGAGGCCGGGAGAGGUGAGAGGUACUUCAGGGGUAGGGGUGAAAUCUUGUAAUCCUUGAAGGACCACCAGUGGCGAAGGCGUCUCACCAGAACGGACCUGACGGCAAGGGACGAAAGCUAGGGGCACGAACCG